AGCGUACCCUACCGGUCCGUCUCUCCUGUGCUUUAGAGGGGCGACUGUGGCAGUCGAGCUGGGAGGUAGAGGAACCCAUCUCCGAAGAAUAGCUGAACCGUGGUGACCCAAGGACCGUCAUCCGGUAGAAGGGUAGAGCUAGAGAAAGUUGGGCAGGCCCUGUACUAGGGUCUAGCCAGCAUUUUGUUUAUAUUUCCAAUCCCAGGAAGGUCACUCUUGAUUGCUGAUUUUGCUUCUCACCGUCUGUGCUGCCAGCUUGCCCUAAAGAAACUGACUGACCAGAAUGGAUGUAACGAAAGGGUACUCCCUUAUAGGAGAGCUUUUCAACUGCAUUUUGUAUUUCUGCUCCCUAAGUGGGAACGUCUUGGUCUACAGUUUAAGGAAACAGUUAGAUCUUUGACCCUCUGGGUUCUGCUUGAGGCAGGACAGUGAGGCUGGACUGGUGUCUGAGCACUUCUCACAGGCCCCACAGAAGCUGUCCUUCUAUAGCUGGUAUGGUAGCACCCGGCUUUUCCACUUCCGUGUGCCCCCAGACACCGUGCUGCUUCGAUGGCUGCUGCAUGUGUCCCAGGGAGGUCCGUCAUGCGCCGACGUAGAGAUCACAGUGCAUUUCCGCUAUGGCGCCCCUCCUGUCAUCAACCCGCUGGGCACCAGCUUCCCUGACGACACCUUGACCCAUGCCUCCUUCCAUAUCAAGACACUGCUGAGCACCAUGUUACUGGGCAACAC
rnacentral:lncRNA from 1 species